rnacentral:rRNA from 1 species
AGCACUUUAUACUGUGAAACUGCGAAUGGCUCAUUAAAUCAGUUAUCGUUUAUUUGAUAGUACCUUACUACAUGGAUACCUGUGGUAAUUCUAGAGCUAAUACAUGCUAAAAACCUCGACUUCGGAAGGGGUGUAUUUAUUAGAUAAAAAACCAAUGCCCUUCGGGGCUCCUUGGUGAUUCAUAAUAACUUAACGAAUCGCAUGGCCUUGCGCCGGCGAUGGUUCAUUCAAAUUUCUGCCCUAUCAACUUUCGAUGGUAGGAUAGUGGCCUACCAUGGUGGCAACGGGUAACGGGGAAUUAGGGUUCGAUUCCGGAGAGGGAGCCUGAGAAACGGCUACCACAUCCAAGGAAGGCAGCAGGCGCGCAAAUUACCCAAUCCCGACACGGGGAGGUAGUGACAAUAAAUACUGAUACGGGGCUCUUUUGGGUCUCGUAAUUGGAAUGAGUACAAUCUAAAUCCCUUAACGAGGAACAAUUGGAGGGCAAGUCUGGUGCCAGCAGCCGCGGUAAUUCCAGCUCCAAUAGCGUAUAUUAAAGUUGUUGCAGUUAAAAAGCUCGUAGUUGAACCUUGGGUCUGGCUGGCCGGUCCGCCUCACCGCGAGUACUGGUCCGGCUGGACCUUUCCUUCUGGGGAACCUCAUGGCCUUCACUGGCUGUGGGGGGAACCAGGACUUUUACUGUGAAAAAAUUAGAGUGUUCAAAGCAGGCCUUUGCUCGAAUACAUUAGCAUGGAAUAAUAGAAUAGGACGUGCGGUUCUAUUUUGUUGGUUUCUAGGACCGCCGUAAUGAUUAAUAGGGAUAGUCGGGGGCGUCAGUAUUCAGCUGUCAGAGGUGAAAUUCUUGGAUUUGCUGAAGACUAACUACUGCGAAAGCAUUCGCCAAGGAUGUUUUCAUUAAUCAGGGAACGAAAGUUAGGGGAUCGAAGACGAUCAGAUACCGUCGUAGUCUUAACCAUAAACUAUGCCGACUAGGGAUCGGGCGGUGUUUCUAUGAUGACCCGCUCGGCACCUUAC